UAAGAGACUAUCGAAUUCUUUUACUCGGCCCGCCACUUUGUAGACAUUUAAUUGAUUAUUCUGAAUGGCUGCAUUUGUUCAAAUAGGAAAUUUCGCGCCAAUGUCUGUUUUCCGUUUAUUUUUUAAAAGGUUGCGCGUUUUUUUUUUCAGGAACGUCUGGAUUCAGAUACAGAAAGUAACAUGGUAGACAUGUACAUAUUUAAAGCAAGUGGAAACCUUUAAAAAAACGAACAACUAAACUAAGAAUUAUGUGCACAUCAUAGGAUAUUGACGUCAAUGGAAACAAAAUGUUUGUACUAGUUGAUCGCAGGAAUAUUGAUGAAAAAGUUAAAAGACAUUCAGUGAUAGGGAUGAAGUGGAGGCCUUAUCGAUAAACAAAGAGUCCCCAGUUCAGGAAAUGGUACAGCGCUGAGAGUAUUUUGAAAGUUAAGAAAGGUUGGUAAUUGUUA